rnacentral:rRNA from 1 species
UAAGGAAUAUUGGGCAAUGGACGCAAGUCUGACCCAGCCAUGCCGCGUGAAGGAUGAAGGCCCUAUGGGUUGUAAACUUCUUUUGUACGGGAAAAAAUCUCCGGUCGUGAAUCGGAGCUGAUGGUACCGUAAGAAUAAGCAUCGGCUAACUCCGUGCCAGCAGCCGCGGUAAUACGGAGGAUGCAAGCGUUAUCCGGAUUCAUUGGGUUUAAAGGGUGCGCAGGCGGAAUGAUAAGUCAGUGGUGAAAUCCUACGGCUCAACUGUAGAACUGCCAUUGAUACUGUCGUUCUUGAGUACACUUGGAGUGGGCGGAAUGUGUCAUGUAGCGGUGAAAAGCUUAGAGAUGACACAGAACACCGAUCGCGAAGGCAGCUCACUAAAUUGUAACUGACGCUCAGGCACGAAAGCGUGGGGAUCAAACA